rnacentral:rRNA from 1 species
GACUCCUACGGGAGGCAGCAGUGGGGAAUAUUGCACAAUGGGCGAAAGCCUGAUGCAGCGACGCCGCGUGAGGGAUGACGGCCUUCGGGUUGUAAACCUCUUUCAGCAGGGAAGAAGCGAAAGUGACGGUACCUGCAGAAGAAGCGCCGGCUAACUACGUGCCAGCAGCCGCGGUAAUACGUAGGGCGCAAGCGUUGUCCGGAAUUAUUGGGCGUAAAGAGCUCGUAGGCGGCUUGUCGCGUCGGAUGUGAAAGCCCGGGGCUUAACCCCGGGUCUGCAUUCGAUACGGGCAGGCUAGAGUUCGGUAGGGGAGAUCGGAAUUCCUGGUGUAGCGGUGAAAUGCGCAGAUAUCAGGAGGAACACCGGUGGCGAAGGCGGAUCUCUGGGCCGAUACUGACGCUGAGGAGCGAAAGCGUGGGGAGCGAACAGGAUUAGAUACCCUGGUAGUCCACGCCGUAAACGUUGGGAACUAGGUGUGGGCGACAUUCCACGUCGUCCGUGCCGCAGCUAACGCAUUAAGUUCCCCGCCUGGGGAGUACWGCCGCAAGGCUAUAAYUCANAGGAAUSGACGGGGCC